AGACAUUGCUCAAUGUAGGCUAAAUGCGUGAAUGGAUCAGAUCUAGCUAGACGGAUUUAUUCCUAAACAGACUCGGGCACAAUAGCAAAAUCCACUAUCCAGUUUAGGCUAAAUAUAACGGCUGGUUCUGUUCUGAUUCUCUGGCUUCUAGGAGGUCAGUCUAUUGUUAGCGCUGGGGUUGAGUCUGGGCAGCGAGAAGCGAACCCAUCCAAGGCAGUAAUGACCACACACAAAAUCCUGUCUCUCUGUGCAACCAACCCACGGCAAGGUGUGAUAGAAUAGCCUACGAUAUGGAAACAACCAAGGAACGGAACUUACUUUUAGCUUGGAACCUCGGCUAGAAGAAGAAAUCCACUUUGUUUUCCCGAAUCUCGUGUUAUACUGCGUUCCUUUUCACUUUAAAAUACAAGAAAAUAGCGCCCACUGUACCGUUGGUGUGUGUGAGUGACUGAAUCAACUACCGUACAGAGCCACAGCAAGUUGAAGUGUCAAAUUACACUGGCUGUUCAGUUACCACAGAGGGAGCCAUGCUUCGGGGCUGCUGACAAAAUGUGUCCCAGAUUCAGUUGGUGGGAGCGAUUUAGGAAUACUCCAGGAGUGACAGACCGACCAUACAGAAGGCUAUGAGAGACUGUAAAACCUCUGAACGGACGGGAGUGAAAUCAUUCGACCACCGACAGCGUUUGAAUUUCGAUUUUUAGUGGAGCAGGAAUCUGGUCCAUGUGAUCCGGAACAUUGGGACAUCCCUACACCAUUGAAGCUGACAUUUUAAAUUGUUAAUUCUCUAGGUCACCAGGCUGCUCAUUAUGGCGCACACCUGUCACCAUCAUUACACACACCUGCGCAUCAUCAGACUCACCUGGACUCCAUCAACUUCCUGAUUACCUGUCCUAUAUAUGUCACUCCCUUUGGUUCCUUCCCCAGGUGUUAUUGUUUCUGUUCCAGUGUCAUGUCUGUGCGUUGUUCGUGUUUCUUGUUUUGUAU
ensembl:lncRNA